rnacentral:rRNA from 1 species
UACGUAGGGACCAAGCGUUGUUCGGAUUUACUGGGCGUAAAGGGCGCGUAGGCGGCGUGGUAAGUCAGCUGUGAAAUCUCCGAGCUUAACUCGGAACGGUCAGCUGAUACUGCUGUGCUAGAGUACAGAAAGGGCAAUCGGAAUUCUUGGUGUAGCGGUGAAAUGCGUAGAUAUCAAGAGGAACACCAGUGGCGAAGGCGACUACCUGGCCUGUUCUUGACGCUGAGGCGCGAAAGCUAGGGGAGCAAACGGG